rnacentral:rRNA from 1 species
AUGUUCCUCUUCCUCUCACACCCUUCAUCCAUCUCCCAUACUCUCCCACCUGCAUUUUGCGCCUGCCCUUCUUCUUCUUCUUCACCACAAACAGCCCCAAGAACCAGCCCGCGCAGCCAUGUAGUACACCGGGCCAACCUACCGCUUCCCCCCCCCCCCGUGCCGGAGACGCUCUACCCCGCCGGGGUGUACGUCGAGAGCACCCUUCGUGUGUGGGCGAUGUCAAGGUGGAGGGGCGCAAGGGGGUUCACCGACUUCUUCCUUGGUGCCGGCUACGGGCACCUCCCUCGGGGAUCUCCAAGGAUGUACCGAGUUGAGGAGGUCAUCCACAACGGGGUUGUGGUUGCUAUCCUUGCCCACUUCACCAACCCCUUCGACGCGUUCUACCUCCUCGGCCGCGUGUUCUAGUGUGGCUGCGAGUUCAUAGCUUUCACCACCCAUAACAUCUUCACGGACUACGACAACGUCUUCCCCACCGACGAGCGCAUGCACACUCUACCGUACCCCAUCAACAACACCGCGGAGGAGCAGUGA